rnacentral:rRNA from 1 species
GACGGGGGGUGCUAGCGUUGCUCGGAAUCACUGGGCGUAAAGCGCGUGUAGGCGGUUUGAUAAGCUGAAUGUGAAAUCCUGCGGCUUAACCGUAGAAGUGCAUCCAGAACUGUCAAACUAGAGUAUGGUAGAGGGCGGGGGAAUUCCCGGUGGAGCGGUGAAAUGCGUAGAUAUCGGGAGGAAUACCAGUGGCGAAGGCGCCCGCCUGGGCCAUUACUGACGCUGAGACGCGAAAGCGUGGGGAGCAAACAGGAUUAGAUACCCUGGUAGUCCACGCUGUAAACUAUGCCGACUAGGUGUCGCGGGUCUGACCCCUGCGGUGCCGAAGCAAACGCGUUAAGUCGGCCGCCUGGGGAGUACGGUCGCAAGAUUAAA